AUUUGGUUAGCCCAGUGGUAGAGCAGAGCGGUCGAUUGCAGUUCGAAUGGUCACCUGUUCAAUCCAGGUACUCCACU